GAUGAAGAACGUAGCGAAAUGCGAUAAGUAAUGUGAAUUGCAGAACUCAGUGAAUCAUCGAAUCUUUGAACGCACAUUGCGCCCCCUGGCAUUCCGGGGGGCAUGCCUGUCCGAGCGUCAUUUCUGCCCUCCAGCCCGGCUGGGUGUUGGGCGCUGUCCCCCCGGGGACACGCCCCAAAGGCAGUGGCGGCGCCGCGUCGGGUCCUCGAGCGUAUGGGGCUUUGUCACCCGCUCGGGACGGACUCGUCGGCGCUGGUCUUCCUCCAGGCGACCCUUCGGGGCUCGUCUUCCUUCGGUUGACCUCGGAUCAGGUAGGGUUACCCGCUGAACUUAAGCAUAUCAAUAAGCGGAGGA
rnacentral:misc_RNA from 1 species